rnacentral:rRNA from 1 species
AAUCCAUAGGUUAAUGAGGCGAACCGGGGGAACUGAAACAUCUAAGUACCCCGAGGAAAAGAAAUCAACCGAGAUUCCCCCAGUAGCGGCGAGCGAACGGGGAGGAGCCCAGAGCCUGAAUCAGCAUGUGUGUUAGUGGAAGCGUCUGGAAAGGCGCGCGAUACAGGGUGACAGCCCCGUACACAAAAGCGCAUGUGCUGUGAGCUCGAUGAGUAGGGCGGGACACGUGGUAUCCUGUCUGAAUAUGGGGGGACCAUCCUCCAAGGCUAAAUACUCCUGACUGACCGAUAGUGAACCAGUACCGUGAGGGAAAGGCGAAAAGAACCCCGGCGAGGGGAGUGAAAAAGAACCUGAAACCGUGUACGUACAAGCAGUGGGAGCACAGGUUUACCUGUGUGACUGCGUACCUUUUGUAUAAUGGGUCAGCGACUUAUAUUCUGUAGCAAGGUUAACCGAAUAGGGGAGCCGGAGGGAAACCGAGUCUUAAUUGGGCGUUAAGUUGCAGGGUAUAGACCCGAAACCCGGUGAUCUAGCCAUGGGCAGGUUGAAGGUUGGGUAACACUAACUGGAGGACCGAACCGACUAAUGUUGAAAAAUUAGCGGAUGACCUGUGGCUGGGGGUGAAAGGCCAAUCAAACCGGGAGAUAGCUGGUUCUCCCCGAAAGCUAUUUAGGUAGCGCCUCGUGAAUUCAUCUCCGGGGGUAGAGCACUGUUUCGGCUAGGGGGCUAUCCCGGCUUACCAACCCGAUGCAAACUGCGAAUACCGGAG